rnacentral:rRNA from 1 species
CCUACGGGAGGCAGCAGUGGGGAAUAUUGGGCAAUGGGCGCAAGCCUGACCCAGCAACGCCGCGUGAAGGAAGAAGGCUUUCGGGUUGUAAACUUCUUUUCUCAGGGACGAAGCAAGUGACGGUACCUGAGGAAUAAGCCACGGUUAACUACGUGCCAGCAGCCGCGGUAAUACGUAGGUGGCAAGCGUUAUCCGGAUUUACUGGGUGUAAAGGGCGGGUAGGCGGGAAAGCAAGUCAGAUGUGAAAACCAUGGGCUCAACCUGUGGCCUGCAUUUGAAACUGUUUUUCUUGAGUACUGGAGAGGCAGAUAGAAUUCCUGGUGUAGCGGUGAAAUGCGUAGAUAUUAGGAGGAACACCGGUGGCGAAGGCGGUCCUCUGGACAAAGACUGACGCUGAGGCGCGAAAGCGUGGGGAGCAAACAGGAUUAGAUACCCGAGUAGUC